rnacentral:tRNA from 1 species
UAUAUAUUGGUGUAUGAUGCACAGAGAAUUUUGAUUUCUUUGGUUUUAGUUUAAAUCUAAAGUGUAUAA